rnacentral:tRNA from 1 species
UCUUCUAUAGUACAGCGGUUAGUAUAUCCGCCUUUCAUGAUCGAUCGCGGGAGAUCGGGGUUCGAUUCCCCGUGGGAGAA